UACGGAGGGUGCGAGCGUUGUCCGGAAUCACUGGGCGUAAAGGGCGUGUAGGCGGGACAGUAAGUCGGGCGUGAAAUCCCUGGGCUCAACCCAGGAACUGCACUCGAAACUACUAUUCUUGAGUGUCGGAGAGGAAAGCGGAAUUCCUGGUGUAGAGGUGAAAUUCGUAGAUAUCAGGAGGAACACCAGUGGCGAAGGCGGCUUUCUGGACGAUAACUGACGCUGAGACGCGAAAGCGUGGGGAGCAAACAGG
rnacentral:rRNA from 1 species